rnacentral:rRNA from 1 species
GACGAACGCUGGCGGCGUGCUUAACACAUGCAAGUCGAACGGAAAGGCCCAGCUUGCUGGGUACUCGAGUGGCGAACGGGUGAGUAACACGUGGGUGAUCUGCCCUGGACUCUGGGAUAAGCCUGGGAAACUGGGUCUAAUACCGGAUAUGACCUUACAUCGCAUGGUGUUUGGUGGAAAGCUUUUGCGGUUCAGGAUGGGCCCGCGGCCUAUCAGCUUGUUGGUGGGGUAAUGGCCUACCAAGGCGACGACGGGUAGCCGACCUGAGAGGGUGAUCGGCCACACUGGGAGUGAGACGCGGCCCGGCCUCCUGCGGGAGGCAGCGGUGGGGAAUAUUGCACAAGGGGCGCAAGCCUGAUGCAGCGCCGCCGCGGGAGGGAUGAGGGCCGUCGGGUUGUAGACCACUUUCACCAGGGAAGAAGCGUGAGUGCCGGUGCGGGGAGAAGAAGCACCGGCCAACUACGUG